rnacentral:rRNA from 1 species
GAUAAUGGCUCAGAUUGAACGCUGGCGGCAUGCUUUACACAUGCAAGUCGAGGGGUAUAGUUCUUCGGAGCUAGAGACCGGCGCACGGGUGCGUAACGCGUAUGCAAUCUACCUUUACAGAGGGAUAGCCCAGAGAAAUUUGGAUUAAUGCCCCAUAGUGUUAUCGAAUCGCAUGGUUUGAUAACUAAAGUUCCAACGGUAUAAGAUGAGCAUGCGUCCCAUUAGUUAGUUGGUAAGGUAACGGCUUACCAAGACAAUGAUGGGUAGGGGUCCUGAGAGGGAGAUCCCCCACACUGGUACUGAGACACGGACCAGACUCCUACGGGAGGCAGCAGUGAGGAAUAUUGGUCAAUGGGCGCAAGCCUGAACCAGCCAUGCCGCGUGCAGGAAGACGGUCCUAUGGAUUGUAAACUGCUUUUAUACAGGAAGAAACCCUCCCACGUGUGGGAGCUUGACGGUACUGUAGGAAUAAGGAUCGGCUAACUCCGUG